rnacentral:lncRNA from 1 species
GCGUCCUGGCGGAAGCGGAGGAGGGGGACGCUUCGGCUCUUCCACGGGCGGUUCUCACCAGGUCGGCUCAGGCAGAUGCGGCACACCGGGCUGUAGCAGGCGUCACACGACGCACCCGUUACAAUUGGAUACGUACAGGCGAACGACCUAGCCCAGCACUAACCAACCAACUUAGGCCACCCUUAGCAACUCGCAGAAUCACUGCCCUACGAAGGCCUAAUGGUACUCUGUGUAGCAAUUUACAACAGCUUCCUAAUAUCAUGGCGGAUUAUUGGCAACAAAUAGGUGCACAGCCCCAUACUGACCCAGUUGCGCGGUCACGUGUCCUCCAAGCGCUCCGUGCGAGGGGUAGGACGUGCUCACCAGAAGAAGCGGCUAGGGCGGGAGCGCAGGUUGUUACAGUAGAGGAAGUGCAAGCCGCCCUCCAGGCGGCAGCCCCGGGCCGUGCUCCGGGUCCCGACGGAAUACCGGUGGAAUUAUACCAGCGUACAAACUGUGCACCUUUACUGGCUGCCGUUUUUACAGCUAUGGGGGAACUAGAUAGGGUCCCGACUGGCUUUCUGGACGGCAUUAUUUCCUCUUUUUUUAAAGCGGAUGACCCUACGGUGCCGGGAAAUUAUAGACCCAUUACGCUGCUUGGUACAGACUAUCGCACUCUCGCACGUGUUCUCAAGCAACGCCUAUUGCCGCUGUUUAACCACGUCAUAGACACGGAGCAGACAGCCUUCCUCACGGGCAGGCGAAUCGCGGAUAGUGUGCUCCUUUUACAACUGCUGCCCGCGCUUCUCCGUAUGGAGCGCCGUACUUGUGUGGCAGCUUUCCUUGACUUCUACAAAGCCUACGAUACCCUAGAUAGAGACUUUCUGUUCGCGUGUCUGGAUGAAUUGGGUGUAGGUGUGGGCUUUAUUGCUUGGGUUCGACGUCUGCAUACUAGUACGCAAUCAGCGGCGAUUGUCAAUGGUUACCUUUCGUACUGGGUUCUUAUAGCGGCUGGCGUCAGGCAAGGCUGUCCGCUUGCCCCCAUCCUAUACCUUGCGCCAACACAAGCAUUACUAACUUGGCUUCAAUAUCAACAAAUCGGCAUAAGUUUGCGUGACAUUCACCUCGCUGCGUCACAGUAUGCGGAUGAUUGUGGUGCCUUUUUACGUCGCCUAGCGGACAUUCCCCGCUUCAAAGCUGUCAUGGAUGUUUUCCACGCAGCCUCGGGACAACGACUCAACGAUCGCAAGGUUGAGCUCUUGCCGCUUGGCACAUUCACCCGCAAUACAAGACCGGCGGACUUACCACCAGCGAAUGCUAUUGGUAAUCAUUUAAUCAUCCCGGUUACUAACCUAACGCAUAUGGCGAACUCUGUGGGUAAUGAACAAGUAGCAGACGAGGUUGAACAGNNN